UACGUAGGGGGCUAGCGUUGUCCGGAAUCAUUGGGCGUAAAGAGCGUGUAGGCGGCCCGGUAAGUCCGCUGUGAAAGUCGGGGGCUCAACCCUCGAAUGCCGGUGGAUACUGUCGGGCUAGAGUGCGGAAGAGGCGAGUGGAAUUCCUGGUGUAGCGGUGAAAUGCGCAGAUAUCAGGAGGAACACCAAUUGCGAAGGCAGCUCGCUGGGACGUAACUGACACUGAGGCACGAAAGCGUGGGGAGCAAACAGG
rnacentral:rRNA from 1 species